rnacentral:rRNA from 1 species
GACGAACGCUGGCGGCGUGCUUAACACAUGCAAGUCGAACGGAAAGGCCCUGCCUUUGUGGGGUGCUCGAGUGGCGAACGGGUGAGUAACACGUGAGUAACCUGCCCUUGACUUUGGGAUAACUUCAGGAAACUGGGGCUAAUACCGGAUAGGAGCUCCUGCUGCAUGGUGGGGGUUGGUAAGUUUCGGCGGUUGGGGAUGGACUCGCGGCUUAUCAGCUUGUUGGUGGGGUAGUGGCUUACCAUGGCUUUGACGGGUAGCCGGCCUGAGAGGGUGACCGGCCACAUUGGGACUGAGAUACGGCCCAGACUCCAACGGGAGGCAGCAGUGGGGAAUAUUGCACAAUGGGCGGAAGCCUGAUGCAGCAACGCAGCGUGCGGGAUGACGGCCUUCGGGUUGUAAACCGCAUUCGCCUGUGACGAAGCGUGAGUGACGGUAAUGGGUAAAGAAGCACCGGCUAACUACGUG